rnacentral:rRNA from 1 species
UGGGGAAUAUUGCACAAUGGGCGCAAGCCUGAUGCAGCCAUGCCGCGUGUAUGAAGAAGGCCUUCGGGUUGUAAAGUACUUUCAGCGGGGAGGAAGGGGUUAAGGUUAAUAACCUUAGCCAUUGACGUUACCCGCAGAAGAAGCACCGGCUAACUCCGUGCCAGCAGCCGCGGUAAUACGGAGGGUGCAAGCGUUGUCCGGAUUUAUUGGGCGUAAAGCGCACGCAGGCGGUCUGUCAAGUCGGAUGUGAAAUCCCCGGGCUCAACCUGGGAACUGCAUUCGAAACUGGCAGGCUUGAGUCUCGUAGAGGGGGGUAGAAUUCCAGGUGUAGCGGUGAAAUGCGUAGAGAUCUGGAGGAAUACCGGUGGCGAAGGCGGCCCCCUGGACGAAGACUGACGCUCAGGUGCGAAAGCGUGGGGAGCAAACAGG